GGUGACUCCAGGUUUGGAUGGACUGCCAUGGAUGGACUUUGGAUGGUGGGAAUGGUGGGAAGACAAUCUGAAGGUAAUUAUCGUUGCACACAACGGUAGCGUCCAGGCCUCCAGAGUUCUCACCCUAUCGCCUGAUGUACGGACAGGAGCCACAGCUGUUUACUGAGAUGUGUCAAACCAGAUCAGAACACCUUCGAGGACCACCUUCAGGCAUGGGAUGAGAAGGAUGUGGAGAUUUUUGACCAGGUGAGACUGUACAUGGACAAGGCACAGGAGAAACAGAAGGAAAGCCACCAGAUGAGAAUCAAGGGGACCAAGUGCUUCGACAUCCGGGCAAAUGACUUGGCUUGGAAGAAGGACAAAAGGAAGGCGAGACCUGGGAAACCUUGCUGCUCUUUCGCUUCUAGCUGGGGUCCCCAUCCGUUAAGGCUAGAGACCAUGUUGCGGAGCCUUCGGUGGGCAAGCGGUCAUUUGAUUGAUGAAGAGGUGGCCAGCAAUCUAAUUGCUGUUGCAGGGGAGUUCCUGCAAGAGGCAAAUUACAUCAACAACGGGAACCUUACC